rnacentral:rRNA from 1 species
UACGGAGGGUGCGAGCGUUGUUCGGAAUCACUGGGCGUAAAGGGCGCGUAGGUGGCCCGGUCAGUCUUUGGUGAAAGCGCGGGGCUCAACCCUGCGUCGGCCAGGGAUACUGCCGCGGCUCGAGCACUGUAGAGGCAGGCGGAAUUCCGGGUGUAGCGGUGGAAUGGCGUAGAUAUUCGACAAGAACACCAGUGGCGAAGGCGGCUCACUGGCCCAUAACUGACGCUGAGGCACGAAAGCGUGGGGAGCAAACAGG